rnacentral:misc_RNA from 1 species
GUGCUCACCAGAGACGGCAUCGCCGAGGUCACGCUGAGCCG